rnacentral:rRNA from 1 species
UACGGAGGAUGCAAGCGUUAUCCGGAAUGAUUGGGCGUAAAGCGUUUUAAGGUGGUUUGGUAAGUCUACUGUUAAAUAUCAGGGCUUAACCCUGAACAGGCAGUGGAAACUAGCAAGCUUGAGUACGGUAGGGGCAAAGGGAAUUCCCGGUGUAGCGGUGAAGUGCGCAGAUAUCAGGAGGAACACCGGUGGCGAAGGCGGUUCUCUGGGCAUUACCUGACGCUGAGGAGCGAAAGUGUGGGGAGCGAAUGGG